ACAAUGCCUUCUCCAUUGCUUCCUUCCGCUGAAGCCUCACCCUAGCCCUGCCCAGGAAUGUUGCUUUACCCUCUCUGAAGCCACUAUUCUCAUCUAACCAGUCUGGGGAGCCAGAAGGCUCUUUGGACGAUCUUGAAAUGAAAGCAAGGCUACUCCGGGAAGCAAGGGCAAAACCUCUAUGCUCCUCCCUUGCUUUGUUCUCCUUUUCUGCCCACCCGCUAUGAAAGGGCCAGGCAAAGGCUUUGCAGCUGCCCAGUAAAGAUACAUUUGUUCAGAGCCUCUAUGUGAAUGCCGUCGUCUUCACUGAUACCCAAGCAAAGUGUCCACGGGCCUCGGCAGAGUGGAUAGCAUGGACAAAGGCAAGUUCUGAGAGGAAGAAGCCAGACCACAGUGGGCAGUUCUGUAAACCGCUAGAAACCCUACUUGAUUAUUUUCUUUUGGCUGAAGCUAGACAACCUUUGCCUCGGUGAAGAGCAAAACUCAUGUGCUCCACAGAAAGGAAGAGCCUCUCUGUUGGCAUCUAACCCAACCCCUGGAUAAAGCAGCCGAGGAAGGGCUCCAAGUGCUUGCUGCCUAAGCCUGAGGAUCCGAGUUCCAGCACUAGAGUAUAAAAUGCCAGGCGAACGCGUGUGUACCUGUAACCCCAGCACUGAGGAGCGGAGACAGGAAUAGCACUGAGGCUUGCUGGCUGGACCUAGCUGAGUCAAAGUCCAGGUGACAUUUUGAGUCUUGAAAAAAAUAAGGUAGAGAGUGAAUGGGGAAGGCACCUGAUGCUCAUCUCGUCACCCCUGCAUACCAAGAGCGCACGCGCGUGCCCACAUAGCGCCAGAGAGAGAGAUGCAUGCACACACAAAAACAAAGGGUUAAAGAGCACCCUUUCUGCCUCAUCAAGUCCAUUUUCAGUUCCGCUCUGUUUGCUUAACGAUAUGAAGAGAUUAAAGACUUGAAUUUGGGUUGAUAACCGUGCUGUUCCCACGUACCCUGACAAAUGCCAAAACACCCACCAGAGGCUGGUGGGGCAGUCCUUGCGCAUGUCCCCCUUGGCGGAGGUGGGCUUCCAGAACCCCUGACACACACAAUACCUUGGCUCCUGCUCAAAAUACCCGACAUUCAUCGCCAACAACGUCCCCACCUACCAGGGUCCCUGGCCACCCCUUCCUGGAAAAUGUGAUGAGAAGGCAAGCUGGCCAACAGCACCUGGCCCCGCAGCAGACCUGGAUGCCGGUCCGGAAGCAGCCCUGGCCGGGCGACAGACAGCGCCUCGGGAUGUGCACUGGGCGGCAGACCCUUCUCACAGGGUAGCUUCCUGAGGGACGGUGGAGCCACCUUUGUUGGCGUGGGUCUCUCUGACCUCAGACGACAUGGGAAAUGGAGGCCAGUGGGUGACACUGGGAGGCUGAGCUAUGAAAUGCCACCAUCCGGCGUAAGGUGGGACACAUUGUCCCUGAAAAGGGAGGGCCACUUCCCACCACACCUCGCCACUGCACAACCUGCCCAGGGCUCUUAAAUCACUUUAAAAUAGUCUGGAGACUUAAAAUAUACAUACACACACACACACAUAUAUGUUAUAUUACGUGUGUGGGUAUUUUGCAUGCAUAUAUGUCUGUAUACCACUUGUGAACCUGGUUCCCUCAGAGGUCAGAAGUCAGCGUCACAAAGCCUGUAACUGGAGUUACAGACAUUUGUUAGCUCCCAUGUGGGUGCUGGGAGUCAAACUGGGAUUCCUUAACUGCUGAGAUACCUCUGUAGGAUUUUUUUUUUUUUUUUUUUUGUAAUGGAGUAAGCAGAUCCAAAAGCACACUAUAAAGCUUCUGUAAAGCAAAGGACACUGUCAUCAGAACAAAAGGACAGCCUACAGACUGGAAAAGGAUCUUCACCAACCCUAUAUUUGACAGAGGGCUAAUAUCCAAAAUAUAUAAAGAACUCAAGAAGUUAAACAACAACAAAUCAAGUAAUCCAAUUACAGAGAAUUGAGGUACAGAACUAAACAGAGAACUCUCUGUAGAGGAAUAUUGAAUGACAGAGAAACACUUAAAGAAAUGCUCAGUGUCCUUAGUCAUCAGGGAAAUGCAAAUCAAAAUGACCCUGAGAUUUCACCUUACACCCAUCAGAAUGGCUAAGAUCAAAAACUCAAGUGACAACACAUGCUGGAGAGGAUGUGGAAAAAAGGGAACCCUCCUCCAUUGCUGGUGGGAAUGUAAACUUGUACAGCCACUUUGGAAAUCAAUCUGCUGUUUUCUCAGAAAAUUAGAAAUAGUGCUAUCUCAAGAUCCAGGUAUUCCACUCCUAGGCAUAUAUCCAAAAUAUGCUCAAGUACACAACAAGGACAUUUGCUCAACCAUGUUUGUAGCAACUUCAUUUGUAAUAGCCAGAAUCUGGAAACAACCCAGAUGUCCCUCGACGGAGGGAUGGAUACAGAAAUUAUGGUACAUUCACACAAUGGACUACUACUCAGCAAUUAAAAACAAGGAAACCAUGAAAUUUCCAUGCAGAUGGUGGGAACUAGAAAAGUGAGGUAUCCCAGAAGCAGAAAGACACACAUGGUAUAUACUCACUUGUAAGUGGAUAUUAGACAUAUAAUAUAGGAUAAUCAUAUUAAAAUCUAUACACCUAAAGAAGCUAAGCAAGAAGGAGUAAGAUGAUCAAUCCUCAGUCAGAAAGGCAAACAGGACAGACAUUGGGAGAAGGAGAAAACAGAAAACAGGACAGGAGCCUACCACAGAGGGCCUCUGAAAGACUCUACUCAGCAGGGUAUCAAAACAGAUGCUGAAACUCAUAGCCAAACUUCGGGCAGAGUGCAGGGAAUCUUAUGAAAGAAGGGGGAGAUAGAAAGACCUAGAGGGGACAGGAGCGCCACAAGGAGAGCAACAGAACCAAAAAAUCUAGGCCCAGGAAUCUUUUCUGAGACUGAUAUUCCAACCAAGGGCCAUGAAUGGAGAUACCCUGCACAGAUGUAGCCCAAGGCAGCUCAGUGUCUAAGUAGGUUCCCUAGUAAGAGGAACAGGGGCUGUCUCUGACAUGAACUCAGUGGCUGGCUCUUUGAUCACCUCCCCCUGAAGGGGGAACAGCCUUAGCAGGCCACAGAGGAAGACAAUGCAGCCAGUCCUGAUGAGACCUGAUCGGCUAGGGUCAGAUGGAAGGGGAGGAGGACUGCCUCUGUCCGUGGACUUGGGGAGGGGAAGGGAGGAGGAGAGGAAAGGAGGGUGCGACUGAGAGGGAUCAAGGGAGGGGGCUACAGCUGGGAUACAAAGUGAAUAAAUUGUAAUUAAUAAAAAAUAAAAUAAAAAUGAAAACAAAAUAAAAUGUAUCAUGCUAAAGGUCACAGGGACCCCAGCAGCCACUGACUGAACA